rnacentral:rRNA from 1 species
UACGGAAGGCAGCAGUGGGGAAUAUUGGACAAUGGGCGCAAGCCUGAUCCAGCCAUGCCGCGUGUGUGAAGAAGGCCUUCGGGUUGUAAAGCACUUUUGUCCGGAAAGAAAAGCUUAGGGUUAAUAACCUUGAGUCAUGACGGUACCGGAAGAAUAAGCACCGGCUAACUUCGUGCCAGCAGCCGCGGUAAUACGAAGGGUGCAAGCGUUACUCGGAAUUACUGGGCGUAAAGCGUGCGUAGGUGGUUUUGUUAAGUCUGAUGUGAAAGCCCUGGGCUCAACCUGGGAAUGGCAUUGGAAACUGGCUUACUAGAGUGCGGUAGAGGGGUGUGGAAUUCCCGGUGUAGCAGUGAAAUGCGUAGAUAUCGGGAGGAACAUCUGUGGCGAAGGCGACACCCUGGACCAGCACUGACACUGAGGCACGAAAGCGUGGGGAGCAAACAGGGAUUAGAUACC